CGCCUACNAUGCAAGUCGAACGGAGCUUGCACCUAACACGGAAUGUUGGUAAAAACCAAUGCUUGCGUGUUAGGGGUAAGUUUAGUGGCGGACGGGUGAGUAACACGUGAGCAACCUGCCGAAGAGUGGGGGAUAACGUUUGGAAACGAACGCUAAUACCGCAUAAAAUACCGGGAUGGCAUCAUACUGGUAUCAAAGGAGCAAUCCGCUUUUUGAUGGGCUCGCGCCCGAUUAGGUAGUUGGUGAGGUAAUGGCCCACCAAGCCUGCGAUCGGUAGCCGGACUGAGAGGUUGAACGGCCACAUUGGGACUGAGACACGGCCCAGACUCCUACGGGAGGCAGCAGUGGGGGAUAUUGCACAAUGGGGGAAACCCUGAUGCAGCGACGCCGCGUGAGUGAAGACGGUCUUCGGAUUGCAAAGCUCUGUUGCAGAGGACGAUAAUGACGGUACUCUGUGAGGAAGCCACGGCUAACUACGUGCCAGCAGCCGCGGUAAUACGUAGGUGGCAAGCGUUGUCCGGAAUUACUGGGUGUAAAGGGAGCGUAGGCGGGGAGACAAGUUGGAUGUGAAAUACCCAGGCUUAACCUGGGGGCUGCAUCCAAAACUGUUUUUCUUGAGUGAUGUAGAGGCAGGCGGAAUUCCUAGUGUAGCGGUGAAAUGCGUAGAUAUUAGGAGGAACACCAGUGGCGAAGGCCGGCCUGCUGGGCAUUAACUGACGCUGAGGCUCGAAAGCCUGGGGAGCAAACAGGAUUAGAUACCCUGGUAGUCCACGCUGUAAACGAUGAUUACUAGGUGUGGGGGACUGACCCCCUUCCNUGCCCGAGUUAACACAAUAAGUAAUCCCACCUGGGGAGUACCGCCCCCCAAGGUUUGAAACCUCAAANGAAUUGAACGGGGGCCCCCCCACAAGCCNGUGGAAUUAUGUGGUUUAAUUUCCNAAGCCAACCCCCNAAAAACCC
rnacentral:rRNA from 1 species